CAAGCGUUAUCCGGAUUUAUUGGGUUUAAAGGGUGCGUAGGCGGUUUGAUAAGUUAGAGGUGAAAUUUCGGGGCUCAACCCUGAACGUGCCUCUAAUACUGUUGAGCUAGAGAGUAGUUGCGGUAGGCGGAAUGUAUGGUGUAGCGGUGAAAUGCUUAGAGAUCAUACAGAACACCGAUUGCGAAGGCAGCUUACCAAACUAUAUCUGACGUUGAGGCACGAAAGCGUGGGGAGCAAACAGGAUUAGAUACCCUGGUAGUCCACGCAGUAAACGAUGAUAACUCGUUGUCGGCGAUACACAGUCGGUGACUAAGCGAAAGCGAUAAGUUAUCCACCUGGGGAGUACGUUCGCAAGAAUGAAACUCAAAGGAAUUGACGGGGGCCCGCACAAGCGGAGGAACAUGUGGUUUAAUUCGAUGAUACGCGAGGAACCUUACCCGGGCUUGAAAGUUAGCGACGAUUCUUGAAAGAGGAUUUCCCUUCGGGGCGCGAAACUAGGUGCUGCAUGGUUGUCGUCAGCUCGUGCCGUGAGGUGUCGGGUUAAGUCCCAUAACGAGCGCAACCCCUACCGUUAGUUGCCAUCAGGUGAAGCUGGGCACUCUGGCGGGACUGCCGGUGUAAGCCGAGAGGAAGGUGGGGAUGACGUCAAAUCAGCACGGCCCUUACGUCCGGGGCUACACACGUGUUACAAUGGUAGGUACAGAGGGCAGCUACCCAGCGAUGGGAUGCGAAUCUCGAAAGCCUAUCUCAGUUCGGAUUGGAGGCUGAAACCCGCCUCCAUGAAGUUGGAUUCGCUAGUAAUCGCGCAUCAGCCAUGGCGCGGUGAAUACGUUCCCGGGCCUUGUACACACCGCCCGUCAAGCCAUGG
rnacentral:rRNA from 1 species